rnacentral:lncRNA from 1 species
AUUCUUGUCGAAAGAAAAUUUGACAUGAGUAUUGGCCAAGAAGCCAGAAGUAAUUACCAACAAUUGACAUGGUGAAUAAAGCGGCCAGAUCUAGAAGAGUGAUUGUCAUCGAGGCAAAUUUAAGAGCAAAUAUAUCGGCCAUUUUUAUCAAAAAACAAUGAUAAGAAGGAGUGAUUUAUUGAUGGGAAGUUCGCAUCGGGGAAAAAAAUGAAUGACUUUAUAAAUGUCGAUGGCCUUUCAGCGUCCACCAAACUUCUUCUUUAUACGGGCAAAUCAUUCCAAAUAAUUAGGAGUAGGAGAUGACUAGUUAUGAGCUAGCUGAUUGGUAUCCCGGAUAAACACAUCAUCGUUUAGGAGAAAAUGGAAUGGAGAGCUUUAAGAAAAUAAAGAACGGUGAAUAGCGUCUGAACAUGAAUUCUUUAGAAAGGAACUG